GGCGAGUUUGCGAUUACUUCCUUUCGUCAUGUCGUCCGGAGGAGAUUCGAGCAUGGGUCACCAGAUCCUCUUCGGCGCUCUCUCCUUCUUCGUCGACGAUUCGGCGUGGCUUUGGGAUGCGCCCCUUGACGUCGAGGCGCUUCCCCGUCGCGGGGCUACGCACUUCCGUGCCGGCGCUCGCGGCGUCCUUCUUCUUCAACAGUCGACUCCGGUGUCGACCUGCACCGCUGCCACACGCCGCAGAAAGCAGUCUCGCCG
rnacentral:lncRNA from 1 species